CGCCGUGUGGAGCAGUCUGGCAGCUCGCCGGGCUCAUAACCCGGAGGUCGCUAGUUCAAAUCUAGCCACGGCUACCA
rnacentral:tRNA from 1 species